rnacentral:rRNA from 1 species
UGGGGUGCUCGAGUGGCGAACGGGUGAGUAACACGUGAGUAACCUGCCCUUGACUUUGGGAUAACUUCAGGAAACUGGGGCUAAUACCGGAUAAGAGCUCCUGCUGCAUGGUGGGGGUUGGAAAGUUUCGGCGGUUGGGGAUGGACUCGCGGCUUAUCAGCUUGUUGGUGGGGUAGUGGCUUACCAAGGCUUUGACGGGUAGCCGGCCUGAGAGGGUGACCGGCCACAUUGGGACUGAGAUACGGCCCAG